UACGUGGGGCGCAAACGUUGUUCGGAAUCACUGGGCGUAAAGGGCGUGUAGGCGGUUCGGUAAGUGGGAUGUGAAAUCCCCCGGCUUACCCGGGGAACUGCAUCCCAUACUGCUGGACUUGAGUGCGGGAGAGGAUGGAGGAAUUCCUGGUGUAGCGGUGAAAUGCGUAGAUAUCAGGAGGAACACCUGUGGCGAAGGCGUCCAUCUGGCCCGUUACUGACGCUGAUGCGCGAAAGCUAGGGGAGCAAACGGG
rnacentral:rRNA from 1 species